rnacentral:tRNA from 1 species
GCCGGGUUGGCGGAAUCGGUAUACGCGGCGCUCUCAAAAAGCGUUGUCCGAAAGGGCAUGUGGGUUCGAGUCCCACACUCGGCA